rnacentral:sRNA from 1 species
GUAAAUAACUACCACCUUCAUACUGGUGAACUCUCUCUUUCUUCAUUUGUAGGCAAGAAAUUGUGUUGCUUGACAACGAAAUUUCCUUAAACGAAGCACGGAUAGAGGCAAGGGAACAGGGGAUACAGGAAGUUAAGCAUCAAAUCAGUGAAGUAAUGGAGAUGUUCAAAGAUCUGGCGGUGAUGGUAGACCAUCAAGGAACGAUCGGUAAAUCUCUGAAACGAAAAAAGCAACAGUCAAGACCUAGAAUAAAAAAAACAGUCAAGACCUAGAAUGCUUUGAGUCCAAUUCUCAAUCCUCUUUACUUUUUAUUUUUUUAUUUUUUA